rnacentral:rRNA from 1 species
CCUACGGGAGGCUGCAGUGAGGAAUAUUGGUCAAUGGACGAGAGUCUGAACCAGCCAAGUAGCGUGAAGGAUGACUGCCCUAUGGGUUGUAAACUUCUUGUAUAAAGGAAUAAAACGAGGCACGUGUGUCUUUGUGCAUGUAAUUUAUGAAUAAGGAGAGGCUAACUCCGGGCCAGCAGCCGCGGUAAUACGGAGGAUCAGAGCGUUAUCCGGAGUUAUUGGGUUUACAGGGAGCGUAGGCCGCAUGUCAAGCGUGCUGUGAAAUGUCCGGGCUCAACCCGGGCCUUGCAGCGCGAACUGGCGUGCUUGAGUCCGCGGAAAGCAGGCGGAAUUCGUCGUGUAGCGGUGAAAUGCUUAGAUAUGACGAAGAACCCCGAUUGCGAAGGCAGCUUGCUGCAGCGGAACUGACGCUGAUGCUCGAAAGCGCGGGUAUCGAACAGGAUUAGAUACCCUUGUAGUC